CGAGUUGACUAGACAAUCGCUGGCUAAUUUACUUUCGGGUAUUUUUAGCGGGAGGAAAGUCCGGGCUCCAAUGAGCAGGGUGCCAGGUAACGCCUGGGCGGCGCAAGCCGACGACAAGUGCAGCAGAGAGAAGACCGCCGAUGACCGAUUCUUUAUUUAUAGGGAGUAGGAACAGGUAAGGCUGAAAGGGUGCGGUAAGAGCGCACCGGAUUGCUGGUAACAGUAAUUGCAGGGUAAACUCCACCUGGAGCAAGACCAAAUAGGGUUUCAUGAUUAUGUUAACGCAAGUUUACAUAAUAUAAGCGUGGCUCGCGUGGAAACCGGGUAGGUUGCUUGAGCCUUAAAGCGAUUUAAGGCCUAGACGAAUGAUUGUCACUUUUUUCUUUUAAUUUUUAUUUUAAGUAGAAAAGUACAAAACCCGGCUUAUAACGUCAACUCACCUA
rnacentral:RNase_P_RNA from 1 species